CUGGCUUUAAUAAUGGCCAUAGCAGAAGUGUUCAUGUUGCAACCCUGGUCAGAUUCCAACGAAUCUGCUAAAUUCUAUU
rnacentral:ribozyme from 1 species